rnacentral:rRNA from 1 species
CCUACGGGUGGCAGCAGUAGGGAAUCUUCGGCAAUGGACGAAAGUCUGACCGAGCAACGCCGCGUGAGUGAAGAAGGUUUUCGGAUCGUAAAACUCUGUUGUUAGAGAAGAACAGCGCAUAGAGUAACUGUUAUGCGUGUGACGGUAUCUAACCAGAAAGCCACGGCUAACUACGUGCCAGCAGCCGCGGUAAUACGUAGGUGGCAAGCGUUGUCCGGAUUUAUUGGGCGUAAAGCGAGCGCAGGCGGUUAGAUAAGUCUGAAGUUAAAGGCUGUGGCUUAACCAUAGUAGGCUUUGGAAACUGUUUAACUUGAGUGCAAGAGGGGAGAGUGGAAUUCCAUGUGUAGCGGUGAAAUGCGUAGAUAUAUGGAGGAACACCGGUGGCGAAAGCGGCUCUCUGGC